rnacentral:rRNA from 1 species
UACAGAGGUGGCAAGCGUUGUUCGGAAUUACUGGGCGUAAAGGGCGCGUAGGCGGUCUUGUCAGUCCCUUGUGAAAUCCCCCGGCUCAACUGGGGAACUGCACGGGAAACAGCAGGGCUUGAGUUCGGGAGAGGGAAGCGGAAUUCCGGGUGUAGCGGUGAAAUGCGUAGAUAUCCGGAGGAACACCGGUGGCGAAGGCGGCUCCUGGACCGAUACUGACGCUGAGGCGCGAAAGCUAGGGGAGCAAACGGG